rnacentral:lncRNA from 1 species
UCGAGAAGUACGUCGGCAUCUACAAGGCUGCAUCGGAUGCGUCUGCUGAUGGCACCAUAAACGUCUUUCCCUGUCAAUUUACCCAGCAGGGUAUCCGUCUUGUCCAGGCCGAGUACCUCCGGACUACCGGGCAGUUCUUGCCACCGCUCAACUCCUCUGCGUCCUGCUGGGCCGCCCUCCAGCGAUUGCUUGGUCAGAUCUUCACGAACUUCGACCCUCGGUCCGCCUGCGGCUUCAAGACGGAGUGGAUCUCCACGGGAUGCAUGAACAUCUCCUCCCGAUCCCAAUUCGAGUCCCUGGCCAACGCUUCCUCGUCUACCGUCCUGGCCGACGUCAAUCGGACCUGCAGCGGCUCCUUGAGCGGGUCCACCUGCGCCACCUGCACCGCCACCAUGACCCGCCUCAACGCCUUUCUCACAGGGCCCCCCAACGGCAAUGUCUCCGAUUGCACCCAG